AAAAAAAAUGAUGACUAAUAGUAUCGCCCCUAUCUGAAAUAAUGUUGACCGAUCAUUUCUGAUUUU
rnacentral:snoRNA from 1 species